GACGGAGGAUGCAAGUGUUAUCCGGAAUCACUGGGCGUAAAGCGUCUGUAGGUGGUCAAAUAAGUCAACUGUUAAAUCUUGAGGCUCAACCUCAAAAAUCGCAGUCGAAACUAUUCGACUAGAGUAUAGUAGGGGUAAAGGGAAUUUCCAGUGGAGCGGUGAAAUACGUAGAGAUUGGAAAGAACACCAAUGGCGAAAGCACUUUACUGGGCUAUCACUUGACACUGAGAGACGAAAGCUAGGGGUAGCAAAAUGGG
rnacentral:rRNA from 1 species